GUUGCAGUGAGCCAAGAUGGUGCCACUGCACUGCACUCCAGCCUGGUCUGGGGACCGAGCUAGACUCCGUCUCAAAAAAAAAAAAAAAAAUGCAGCUCUCUCAUGAGAGUCCAUUCUUCAGCCCCAAGGAUAGAGGCUGCAAAAACUGCCCACGUCAUCUGGCCCAGGACACAUCCUGCCUGUGGGGUGGGCUGACCUCAUACCUGCCACAUACUGGGAGCCCAGAGUCCUCCCACUCCAGCCCAGCCCAGUCCAGGGCCACCAGCUCUUAGGUUCUGAAGUAGCCCUUUGAGAGGGUGAGGGUGACAUGCCAUGUCUCUCUGUUCCCAUCCUCCUGCCAGUCUUCUCUCCACCCUAGCAUUUCAGGCAAAGGAACAGAAAGCCAGUCUGUGCCCCCACCUGACACUCUCUCCAGGAAGUGUCAGGGAGUGGGCUCUGCUGCCUGGCCCCUCACGCCAGGCUUCAGGAUGAAAGGAAACUCCAGAAUGACAAUUUGGGAUUAUCUAGUGCCCUGGGCCAGAUAGUCUCCUGUGAGGAUUAGUGGCAUCUUUGAAAAGCAGCGGCCACUCCUUUACACAAUACCUCCUCUUCAGGGGAUCUCCUCCCACUCUCCCAUACAGGGAGCUCUGAAUCUGCAGAGGACAGCUUAUCUUGGAACACCUUUGGGAUGGGAAACUGAUCACCUUUCAAGGAAGCCCAGUCCAUCUGCAUCUGUGCUAGAAAGUUCUUCCUUCUACCGACUCAGAAGCAGUCUCCCUGCUGUUUCCUCCUUGCAUCACGGAGCAAAGCCUGCUGCUUUUUCCAGGAGCAGUGGGGGCACGAAAUGUCCUAUUGUUUACGUACCCAAAGAGUGCUUGCUCUAAGCUCCUUCUCCACGAGAACUCUGCAGCUGCCGCUGACCACAGGAUGCUCGUUUGGACAAUGAAGCCCCUUUCUAAUGGGAGGAUACUUUCAGGAUUGUUGCCCCUAG
rnacentral:lncRNA from 10 species